rnacentral:rRNA from 1 species
CGUUUGACUUAUAAAAAUGGUGGAAACAUAGAUUAAGUUAUUAAGGGCGCACGGUGGAUGCCUUGGCACUAGAAGCCGAUGAAGGACGUUACUAACGACGAUAUGCUUUGGGGAGCUGUAAGUAAGCUUUGAUCCAGAGAUUUCCGAAUGGGGAAACCCAGCAUGAGUUAUGUCAUGUUAUCGAUAUGUGAAUACAUAGCAUAUCAGAAGGCACACCCGGAGAACUGAAACAUCUUAGUACCCGGAGGAAGAGAAAGAAAAUUCGAUUCCCUUAGUAGCGGCGAGCGAAACGGGAAGAGCCCAAACCAACAAGCUUGCUUGUUGGGGUUGUAGGACACUCUAUACGGAGUUACAAAGGACGACAUUAGACGAAUCAUCUGGAAAGAUGAAUCAAAGAAGGUAAUAAUCCUGUAGUCGAAAAUGUUGUCUCUCUUGAGUGGAUCCUGAGUACGACGGAGCACGUGAAAUUCCGUCGGAAUCUGGGAGGACCAUCUCCUAAGGCUAAAUACUCUCUAGUGACCGAUAGUGAACCAGUACCGUGAGGGAAAGGUGAAAAGCACCCCGGAAGGGGAGUGAAAUAGAACCUGAAACCGUGUGCUUACAAGUAGUCAGAGCCCGUUAAUGGGUGAUGGCGUGCCUUUUGUAGAAUGAACCGGCGAGUUACGAUUUGAUGCAAGGUUAAGCAGUAAAUGUGGAGCCGUAGCGAAAGCGAGUCUGAAUAGGGCGUUUAGUAUUUGGUCGUAGACCCGAAACCAGGUGAUCUACCCUUGGUCAGGUUGAAGUUCAGGUAACACUGAAUGGAGGACCGAACCGACUUACGUUGAAAAGUGAGCGGAUGAACUGAGGGUAGCGGAGAAAUUCCAAUCGAACCUGGAGAUAGCUGGUUCUCUCCGAAAUAGCUUUAGGGCUAGCCUCAAGUGAUGAUUAUUGGAGGUAGAGCACUGUUUGGACGAGGGGCCCCUCUCGGGUUACCGAAUUCAGACAAACUCCGAAUGCCAAUUAAUUUAACUUGGGAGUCAGAACAUGGGUGAUAAGGUCCGUGUUCGAAAGGGAAACAGCCCAGACCACCAGCUAAGGUCCCAAAAUAUAUGUUAAGUGGAAAAGGAUGUGGCGUUGCCCAGACAACUAGGAUGUUGGCUUAGAAGCAGCCAUCAUUUAAAGAGUGCGUAAUAGCUCACUAGUCGAGUGACACUGCGCCGAAAAUGUACCGGGGCUAAACAUAUUACCGAAGCUGUGGAUUGUCCUUUGGACAAUGGUAGGAGAGCGUUCUAAGGGCGUUGAAGCAUGAUCGUAAGGACAUGUGGAGCGCUUAGAAGUGAGAAUGCCGGUGUGAGUAGCGAAAGACGGGUGAGAAUCCCGUCCACCGAUUGACUAAGGUUUCCAGAGGAAGGCUCGUCCGCUCUGGGUUAGUCGGGUCCUAAGCUGAGGCCGACAGGCGUAGGCGAUGGAUAACAGGUUGAUAUUCCUGUACCACCUAUAAUCGUUUUAAUCGAUGGGGGGACGCAGUAGGAUAGGCGAAGCGUGCGAUUGGAUUGCACGUCUAAGCAGUAAGGCUGAGUAUUAGGCAAAUCCGGUACUCGUUAAGGCUGAGCUGUGAUGGGGAGAAGACAUUGUGUCUUCGAGUCGUUGAUUUCACACUGCCGAGAAAAGCCUCUAGAUAGAAAAUAGGUGCCCGUACCGCAAACCGACACAGGUAGUCAAGAUGAGAAUUCUAAGGUGAGCGAGCGAACUCUCGUUAAGGAACUCGGCAAAAUGACCCCGUAACUUCGGGAGAAGGGGUGCUCUUUAGGGUUAACGCCCAGAAGAGCCGCAGUGAAUAGGCCCAAGCGACUGUUUAUCAAAAACACAGGUCUCUGCUAAACCGUAAGGUGAUGUAUAGGGGCUGACGCCUGCCCGGUGCUGGAAGGUUAAGAGGAGUGGUUAGCUUCUGCGAAGCUACGAAUCGAAGCCCCAGUAAACGGCGGCCGUAACUAUAACGGUCCUAAGGUAGCGAAAUUCCUUGUCGGGUAAGUUCCGACCCGCACGAAAGGCGUAACGAUUUGGGCACUGUCUCAACGAGAGACUCGGUGAAAUCAUAGUACCUGUGAAGAUGCAGGUUACCCGCGACAGGACGGAAAGACCCCGUGGAGCUUUACUGUAGCCUGAUAUUGAAAUUCGGCACAGCUUGUACAGGAUAGGUAGGAGCCUUUGAAACGUGAGCGCUAGCUUACGUGGAGGCGCUGGUGGGAUACUACCCUAGCUGUGUUGGCUUUCUAACCCGCACCACUUAUCGUGGUGGGAGACAGUGUCAGGCGGGCAGUUUGACUGGGGCGGUCGCCUCCUAAAAGGUAACGGAGGCGCUCAAAGGUUCCCUCAGAAUGGUUGGAAAUCAUUCAUAGAGUGUAAAGGCAUAAGGGAGCUUGACUGCGAGACCUACAAGUCGAGCAGGGUCGAAAGACGGACUUAGUGAUCCGGUGGUUCCGCAUGGAAGGGCCAUCGCUCAACGGAUAAAAGCUACCCCGGGGAUAACAGGCUUAUCUCCCCCAAGAGUUCACAUCGACGGGGAGGUUUGGCACCUCGAUGUCGGCUCAUCGCAUCCUGGGGCUGUAGUCGGUCCCAAGGGUUGGGCUGUUCGCCCAUUAAAGCGGUACGCGAGCUGGGUUCAGAACGUCGUGAGACAGUUCGGUCCCUAUCCGUCGUGGGCGUAGGAAAUUUGAGAGGAGCUGUCCUUAGUACGAGAGGACCGGGAUGGACAUACCUCUGGUGUACCAGUUGUCGUGCCAACGGCAUAGCUGGGUAGCUAUGUGUGGACGGGAUAAGUGCUGAAAGCAUCUAAGCAUGAAGCCCCCCUCAAGAUGAGAUUUCCCAACUUCGGUUAUAAGAUC